rnacentral:lncRNA from 1 species
AUGGGAGCGGUCCCGCCGAGUCCAGGGUGUGUGGGGGGGUCCCGCCCCGACUUUUCGGUCAUGGGCCCCCCGAGAAGCCGGGGAAGGGCCCGGCUCUGGCCGCCCCCUCCCACAGCCGCGCCGGGGGUCCCCCCGCCCUCGGUUCCUCCUGGCCGCCGCCGUGCCCCGACGGGGCCGGGAGAGCGCAAAGCCGCCGGGGCUCCGUGCGCACCGGGCGGGGAGAGCCCGCGGGGGUCUCGCACACCCGUGAGGAUGCCGAGAGGGCCGGGAUCGGGCCCCCUCCCAGCCUCUCGCUGCCGGCAUCUCCCCCUCGCCCCGUUCCCGAGUCAGGUCGGGCCUGACCCCUCGGCACGGCGGGGGCUGCCCCGAACAGACGGAGCGGUGCCGGGCACGGCGUGGGGACCCGAGGCAGAGCCCGAGCGCAGGUGCCUGGAGGGGGUUGGGGGCGUCUGUGCCCGUCCCGGUCCCGGGGGACUCCCGGCCCCUCCGUGUCCCAGCCCGGGUGAUUCUGUGAGAGAAAACCAGGUGCCGGGAAAGUUUCACUCGGGGAAGUCUCGAGUCCUCGGACACGAUUCGGUAGCCCAGGGGCAGGCAGAGCCCGGCAGGUUAUUUCAGAGGCCCGGCACAGCCCGGCCUCUCGCCUCUCCCCCUCGGCUCACACCUUGUGGCUCCGUCUGCCCACGGGAGGAAGGUGUUGAAGGGCAGCACUUGUCCCGCACCGGGCCGUGCCCAGCCCCGGGCUCCCCUCCCCGGCCUCCCCAGCCCCGUGCCCCCCGACGGCCGCCUCCUCUCGGGGCGCUGAGCCCCCCGCUGCCCCGACGUGCCGGUGCCGAGACUCCGGGAGCCGCGGAGCCUCCCGGCGAGCGGCCUCCCUGCCGGCCUCCCUGCCUCCUUCAGCCGCUCCCCUUGAUUAAAAGGGCACUUUUAUUUUUCCAACCGACGUGCCCUUUCUCGGAGCGCUGCCCACGCCGUGUCACUCAAGCGGCCGGGCCCUGGCACGGCGGCGCGACCCCCUCCGCUGCCAGCCCCGACGGGGCGGCCCGAGGGGACGGGGGGUGCCCGGGCAGCGGCGAGCCCCGCGCCGGCCUCCGCCCCCUCCCCUCCGCCCGCCCCUCUCCCCGCUUUGAAUUCCUUGCCACCGAGCUGAAUAAAAGU